rnacentral:rRNA from 1 species
UACGUAGGGUGCAAGCGUUGUCCGGAAUUAUUGGGCGUAAAGAGCGUGUAGGCGGCCCGAUUAGUCCGCUGUGAAAGUCCAGGGCUCAACCCUGGAAUGCCGGUGGAUACUGUCGGGCUAGAGUCCGGAAGGGGCGAGUGGAAUUCCUGGUGUAGCGGUGAAAUGCGCAGAUAUCAGGAGGAACACCAAUGGCGAAGGCAGCUCGGUGGGACGUGACUGACGCUGAGACGCGAAAGCGUGGGGAGCAAACAGG